rnacentral:rRNA from 1 species
UUGCCCUAGUAACGGCGAGUGAAGCGGCAACAGCUCAAAUUUGAAAUCUGGCCCCGGCCCGAGUUGUAAUUUGCAGAGGAAGCUUCUGGCGCGGCGCCGUCCGAGUCCCCUGGAACGGGGCGCCAUAGAGGGUGAGAGCCCCGUAUGGAUGGACGCCUAGCCUGUGUGAAGCUCCUUCGACGAGUCGAGUAGUUUGGGAAUGCUGCUCAAAAUGGGAGGUAAAUUCCUUCUAAAGCUAAAUAUUGGCCAGAGACCGAUAGCGCACAAGUAGAGUGAUCGAAAGAUGAAAAGCACUUUGAAAAGAGGGUUAAAUAGCACGUGAAAUUGUUGAAAGGGAAGCGCUUGUGACCAGACUUGCGCCAGGCUGAUCAUCCGGUGUUCUCACCGGUGCACUCUGCCUGGCUCAGGCCAGCAUCGGUUUCAGCGGGGGGAUAAAGGCCUAGGGAACGUAGCUCCCCCGGGAGUGUUAUAGCCCUGGGUGCAAUGCCCCCGCCGGGACCGAGGUUCGCGCAUCUGCUAGGAUGCUGGCGUAAUGGUCAUCAGCGACCCGUCUUGAAACACGGACCAAGGAGUCAAGGUUUUGCGCGAGUGUUUGGGUGUUAAACCCGCACGCGUAAUGAAAGUGAACGUAGGUGAGAGCUUCGGCGCAUCAUCGACCGAUCCUGAUGUAUUCGGAUGGAUUUGAGUAGGAGCGUUAAGCCUUGGACCCGAAAGAUGGUGAACUAUGCUUGGAUAGGGUGAAGCCAGAGGAAACUCUGGUGGAGGCUCGCAGCGGUUCUGACGUGCAAAUCGAUCGUCAAAUCUGAGCAUGGGGGCGAAAGACUAAUCGAACCAUCUAGUAGCUGGUUACCGCCGAAGUUUCCCUCAGGAUAGCAGUGUUGUUCUUCAGUUUUAUGAGGUAAAGCGAAUGAUUAGGGACUCGGGGGCGAUUUUUAGCCUUCAUCCAUUCUCAAACUUUAAAUAUGUAAGAAGCCCUUGUUACUUAGUUGAACGUGGGCAUU